rnacentral:other from 1 species
AAGAUUCUGCGUGGUUCGUCACCGAUUUACAAUGAUUGAGCCAAUGCCGUUUAGAAGGGAGACCGAUGCCGCUUGAAAAUGCCCGUGCAUCCCCUCAUUGUUAGGGGAUCUUCAGAGGCUGCGGCUGGAUUAAAGGUCACCCACCUGUUGUGCAGGUUCAAUUACGGCUUCGGAACGGCUAUUGCGGAUUCCCC